rnacentral:rRNA from 1 species
GGAUCAAGGAAUCGGUCAUGCCUUGGUAUGUACUGGUUUUAUUGGUUCUCACCUUCUAAAGAAUCAUAAUGUCAUUUAUUUGAUGUUAUGGGAAAUCAGGACUGUUACUUUGAAAAAAUUAGAGUGUUUAAAGCAGGCUCGCGCUUGAAUACAUUAGCAUGGGAUAAUGAAAUAGGACGUUUGAUUCUAUUUUGUUGGUUUCUAGGAUCGACGUA